rnacentral:rRNA from 1 species
GAUGAACGCUGGCGGCGUGCUUGACACAUGCAAGUCGAACGGUGAAGGCGGAGCUUGCUCUGCUGGAUCAGUGGCGAACGGGUGAGUAACACGUGAGCAAUCUGCCCCUGACUCUGGGAUAAGCGCUGGAAACGGCGUCUAAUACUGGAUACGAGCUGCGAAGGCAUCUUCAGCAGCUGGAAAGAACUUCGGUCAGGGAUGAGCUCGCGGCCUAUCAGCUUGUUGGUGAGGUAACGGCUCACCAAGGCGUCGACGGGUAGCCGGCCUGAGAGGGUGACCGGCCACACUGGGACUGAGACACGGCCCAGACUCCUACGGGAGGCAGCAGUGGGGAAUAUUGCACAAUGGGCGAAAGCCUGAUGCAGCAACGCCGCGUGAGGGACGACGGCCUUCGGGUUGUAAACCUCUUUUAGCAGGGAAGAAGCGAAAGUGACGGUACCUGCAGAAAAAGCGCCGGCUAACUACGUG